AGCGUAGUACUUUAAGUUAAAAGAUUGGUUUUGCAUGCUAACAUUGGGAAAUUAUUCCCUUACGCUG
rnacentral:tRNA from 1 species